GCGCUGCCUUGGAGUCCCAGCCACCCCUGCGCCUGGGUCAGGGGUCAGGAUGUGACGCCAUAGUAUGCGCUUGCGCAUUACUGAACUCCACCCCCUCCGCCAUUUUGAAUUUAAAUGCCAGUGACCCGG